rnacentral:rRNA from 1 species
ACAGCAGCAGCCGCGGGAAAACGGAGGGUGCAAGCGUUAAUCGGAAUUACUGGGCGUAAAGCGCACGCAGGCGGUCUGACAAGUCAGAUGUGAAAUCCCCGGGCUUAACCUGGGAACUGCAUUUGAAACUGUCAGGCUGGAGUCUUGUAGAGGGGGGUAGAAUUCCAGGUGUAGCGGUGAAAUGCGUAGAGAUCUGGAGGAAUACCGGUGGCGAAGGCGGCCCCCUGGACAAAGACUGACGCUCAGGUGCGAAAGCGUGGGGAGCAAACAGGAUUAGAUACCCGUGUAGUCCCUGUCUCUUAUAC